UACAGAGGUCUCGAGCGUUAGGCGGAAUCACUGGGCUUAAAGCGUGUGUAGGCGGGUCGUUAAGUACCUUGUGAAAUCCCAUGGCUCAACCAUGGAACUGCUUGGUAUACUGGCGAUCUUGUGCAACCUAGGGGCGAGCGGAACAGAUGGUGGAGCGGUGAAAUGCGUAGAUAUCAUCUGGAACGCCAAUGGUGAAAACAGCUCGCUGGGGGUUUGCAGACGCUGAGACACGAAAGCCAGGGGAGCGAACAGG
rnacentral:rRNA from 1 species